AAAGAAAAUCAAAAAAAAA
rnacentral:sRNA from 1 species